UUCUAGCCCAGAUUGAAGCGGCAUCCUUUUUUGAGGAGGAACGACGAAAAAAAGAUAGAGCGGAAAGCUGGAUGUAGC
rnacentral:sRNA from 1 species